rnacentral:rRNA from 1 species
GACAGAGGCCUCGAGCGUUAGGCGGAAUCACUGGGCUUAAAGCGUGUGUAGGCGGGCCCGUAAGUGUCUUGUGAAAUCCCACGGCUCGACCGUGGAACUGCUGGGCAUACUGCGGGUCUUGGGCCAACUAGGGGCAGCCGGAACAAGCGGUGGAGCGGUGAAAUGCGUAGAUAUCGCUUGGAACGCCGAAGGUGAAAACAGGCUGCUGGGGUUGCGCCGACGCUGAGACACGAAAGCCAGGGGAGCAAACGGG